AACCUGACUUGUGUUUCUGUGUUUUCCAUUUAUAGUGUGCCCAUAAGAAUGAUUAUUACAUUUCAUCUAAAUAUGUGUUCUCUUCAUUAUUAUGAAUAGAACUUGCUAAUUGGUACCCAGAUGUUCUUUUACAAGGAAACACUCGAAGGGCUUGUCUGAACCGGGAGAAAAAUUAUGGGACUGUGUUCUUGUCGCUUUCAUUGGUUAUUUGUAAAAAAUGUGUGCUAUGUAGAUCAUGUGGCUUUCAAGAGCCGAGAGUCAUGCUGAAUCCAAUCAUUUGAAAGAGCAACUCCACACUCUUUCUUAAUGCGCUUUCAACAUGCGUUUUCCAAAGACAGAGCUCUCUCCCUACUUUGGGUUGCAUUGCUUCCAAGCAAAAAAGUGUCCUCACUUUCCUCCAUGGACAACAAUCCUUCACAGCUCCUCCCAUCAGAGUUGAUUGACCGGUGUAUAGGUUUGAAAAUCUGGGUUAUAAUGAAGGGAGACAAGGAGCUUGUCGGUACUCUUAGGGGCUUCGAUGUGUACGUCAACAUGGUCCUCGAGGAUGUCACUGAGUAUGAAAUCGCUGCAGAUAUGCGUAUAUGUUUUGAGCCCUUGCAUCGAUAUGGGCACGGUCUUGCCUAAAGUUUUGGUGAUCUAUCAACUACUAAGCAACCGCCUUAACAAAACAGAAACAAUCAGCCACUCAGAGAGAUUCCUUCCGAUAGUAGACUGAAAAUGCUUAGACGAUGUAUUGAUGAAUCAUCACUGGUCUUGAUUUUGUGGUAAAAAAGUCAUCAUCGCUUAUUAUUUACAAGAAUCUGGUCCUUGUGUCUCACCUCUUGAUAAGUAUAAAGCGCAAGUGGUGUGGCAAUUACGUUACCGGAAAGCUAGAAUUCUGCUUUCGAGUGCCUGAACCUCACUUAAGUGAUGAUGCCUUCCUUUUUGUCUUAAUGCAGUUGGUCCCUGGUGGCUCCCCUGAUCUGGAAUGAGUUGGAUUCAUCCUCUAACCCCAGUGGCAAAUUAUGUAGGUUGGCUAUUUGGGUGGAGUGCUGUUUCUUGUUUUUGCAGUGGCGGCAUUCUUCUGAGUUUUCUAGAGGUUUUCAGACUGUUGAAAGAGUGAGCUCAGAGCUCGUGAGGUGUAAUAUUGCUUGCGGAGCUUGGUUAAGAGUGACCAUAACAAAUUCUUGACUUUGCCGGAAAACUUGGCCACUGGCGGUGGAAGCUUGGGAGAGGAGUCGAUGCUCUGUGACCUUGAGGGGUGUGGAUUUAAUCCUGACGAAUUCCUUAGUCUCUUCGAGGACUGCAUCGGUGACGGUGAUCGUGACAGUUUCUCGACUUUGCCAGAGAGCGCUCUCUUUUCUGAAUUCUGAUAGCGAGUCCUCUGUUUAUGCUGUAUGUACAGUGUAGAGAAUAGAGAAGUCUACUGUUGUACUCGUGUAAUAUCUCAAUGGUAUAUGCAAUGUGCAAGGUGAAAGCCCAAAUUAUACGGGUAACUUACUGUGACAGUACUAUCGUAGUUGGCUGAAUCCUCUGCAUUCACUUGGACUGCCCCUGUCCGAGGUCGUUGAACCAAAAAAUAAGUAAAAUUGUCAAUUUGUAUACAAUGACUUGUGGUCUCACACAAUAAGGUGGAAAGCUUUUCCAACCCUGUUGAAGCAGUAAUAUUGUCAUC